rnacentral:lncRNA from 1 species
GUAUAACAUGUAUUAGACCAAUGCUGGAUGCCAGGAUUAGUUAUAACAUGUAUUAGUCCUGAUGCUGGAUGCCAGGAUUAGGUAUAACAUGUAUUAGACCAAUGCUGGAUGCCAGGAUUAGUUAUAACAUGUAUUAGAUCGAUGCUGGAUGCCAGGAUUAGGUAUAACAUGUAUUAGACUGAUGCUGGAUGCCAGGAUUAGGUAUAACAUGUAUUAGACCAGAUGCUGGAUGCCAGGAUUAGGUAUAACAUGUAUUAGACAGAUGCUGGAUGCCAGGAUUAGGUAUAACAUGUAUUAGACAGAUGCUGGAUGCCAGGAUUAGGUAUAACAUGUAUUAGUCCCGAUGCUGGAUGCCAGGAUUAGGUAUAACAUGUAUUAGUCCCGAUGCUGGAUGCCAGGAUUAGGUGUAACAUGUAUUAGACAGAUGCUGGAUGCCAGGAUUAGGUAUAACAUGUAUUAGACAGAUGCUGGAUGCUAGGAUUAGGUAUAACAUGUAUUAGACAGAUGCUGGAUGCCAGGAUUAGGUAUAACAUGUAUUAGACAGAUGCUGGAUGCCAGGAUUAGGUAUAAAAUGUAUUAGACUGAUGCUGGAUGCCAGGAUUCGUUUUUUACAAAUAACAUAAAAGUAUGCAAUUUUUCUGCAUCCUUGUAUCUAACUCUGCGAUAUAAUUAACCAAAAUCUACGCCCGCCUUUCCUGCGUUGCGUGACAUUCGCAGCCUACCCCACCAAUAAUUCUGCAUGUAUAAUACAGCGAAACAGUGAUUCUUUCUGUGUAUUUAGUAACACAAUGACUGCUGCCCCACCACAACACAUCAGCUUUAGGCAACAGCCUACAAGCAAAAUCUCAAUGUAGGUUAACGAGCUCCGUAGAGUUUAAAUGGACCGCUCGAUACAACACUGAUGAAUAAUAUGGACGAUACUGUGUUGUAGUCUACUUCGUAAACUAAUGCACACACUAUUCAAUUAAAUGUGGAUCGUCAGAUAGUCAUAUUUUGUAAUAUUGUUGU